CCUUAUUUUGUCUUUCUUCCUCUCGAUGUCCUCCUUCUAUCGAAUCCCCGAGAUCUUUUGACGAAUGAAUAAAAGAAAUCGGUAGUUGAUUUGUGGGAGCAUGUUUCUCGUAACCUUCGUAAUGAAUAGAUUAUAUUGGUUGUUUGCUCAUGAAGAGAUCUCCUGUAUUGACUGAGAUCAUUGUUACAUCUCUCCAGGGUGCUUGAUUUUUAGAUUGGCUUCCUAAAAUACUUUCUGAUGAGUUCUAUUACUUAAGUCCUAAAAGACUUUCGAGAAUAGCUUGAUUCCAUGUUUCAGAGACUUUUUGAUCAUUCUUAGAGACUUUUUGUGAAAUUGAUGCUACUCGAUUUGUUAAAGAGGGUUCGUUUUUGGUUCCUAAGAAAAUUUAACCUGAACGGAGAGAAAAUUAAAGGUUUUGUUUUUGGUUCCUAAGCAUAGGAACCUAAGAAAAUUUGGCGAAACAUGUUUUAAAUUAAAGGGUCAACAACUUAUGUUUUAAACAAGUUUUCAAAUGCCAAGAACCAUUGUUGAUAGAGGUAGUAUACUUGAAAAGAUCAAAUGCCUUAAGAAGAAUUUUCAAAUGAUUCCUUUUCCUGACUUUGGUCAUUGCAGGUCCUUAUGAAGGGGAGAAUUCGUGUGGAUCCAGAUGCAUAUUCAUACAAGUUUCUUAUUGGAUUCUUGAACAAAAAAAUCACCACAAUGUAGAUGAUUUGUGAGAAAACAUACUCCUGUAACACCUGUUCAUUUUAGUUAACUAUAUUGAAUAUGAAAUUUAUAGUUGGAUUAUCUUACCGCGGGUCCGGUAACAGGCGUGGAAGAUUACUACCUUUGUACCGCUAUCCUCUGUGUUGUUGUUGAAUGACGAUGUUUCCUCCGUACAUAUCAUAUUGAGGUAAAUUCGAUACUUCCGUCUUUCCAUUUGUUAUUUCAACCCAAGACCAAAGUGGACUUACGUCAUAGUCUGUUGGAAAUCGUUAGGCAUGAAAGUUCCGUCCAAAAUCUUUGCGGCACAGAAAAGUCAUAAUAUGAUUAGAUUAGGGGUCUUUGAUUUUCUGACGAGGAAAAUUUUUAAGUUAAUUUCAUUCAAAUAUUUUUGAUCUUAUGUCUAUAAAGGAUAUUACUAAUUAUCAUAUGUGGGUUCAAUUAUGCGAAAGAAGCUCCCAAUUAUGUUAGGCUUUGAUCAUUGUAUUAAAAUUUACGGUUUUACAAGACAACAACAGCAGCUAAAAAGAAAAUUUGGCGAAACGUGUUUUAAAUUAAAGGGUCAACAACUUUUAAGGCUUUCAUGAUAUUAAGCCGAUUCCCACAGAAUCGGUGAUAAAUUAACUCAAGGGUGUUUUCCCACUAUGUAUUUGCAGCCCAAAAUUAUUCACGAGAGCGGAUGGCACUGUCUUGGUUGCAAUGUCAGUUGUACUGCCCUUACGAAAGUAUUGGCUUUGUUAGCAUAUUUACCUGAUUCAGGUGGAGCCUGUUUGGAAGGAAGAGUAUACCUGUCCAAUGGCUACAUAGUUUUAUAUUGAUAUAAGAUUUGACAGCAGUUGGAGUACUGGUGGUAAGUGCGAAUAGUUCUGGUGGUAAGUACUGGUCUACGAUUACUCUGUACUUGACUUGGUUCCUAACUCAACUUCAGAUAUGAGGAAUGGAAGUUAAACUCACAGUAAAAAGGGUUGGGGCGAUGGAGAUGUUGGCUUCUACUAAAUCGAUAAUCAAAAUUGAACAUUUAAGGUCCAAGUAAUUUUGCAUAUACUUUGUACUUAACCCAUAUCCGUUCGCUCUGCACUUCUGUCCGUAUCUCAAAUUCUUUCCAAUUGUACUUUUUGUAGCACCACCAUUUUUAUUAGCUUCAACAAUUAUCAAAAUUAACCACAUUAACAUUUAGUCAUUGCCUAGGAUCAUCCAUACGGAUGCAAGAUACAACUAUGGCGUGUCUAACACAAGUGGGAAAGUUUUUUGUUUGAUUCAAAUAGGUCCACUCCCUUUAUUCUUUGAGUUUGUGACCAAUUCUUAACCUUUCAUUUAUAACAUGCAUGGUGGCGCCAAUAGGUACGUUUCUUAGGUAGAACUACUUUAAAAACUACCUAACCCAUGAAUUGUAUAUAGCCCGGAUUUUGUAUCCUUCAUGUGUGUUUUUACUGUCAUUUUUGUUUUUCAUAUGAUACAGUUUGUACUUGCUUCAUAUUAUGCUUUACUUCACUACUGCAUCCUUCGUUAUUGGCUUGGCAGAAAGUUUGCUUUGCAAUAUGGAUAGACUAUGAAAAGUCUAAGGACAUGGUUUGCCUUCCUCACUGCUGCAUUUGAAUUCCUAGCAUCUUGCUAACAGUCGGUGUAGACUACUAUCUGCGGUUGAAGGCAUAAAGCUAUUAGCUACUGCCAACAAUUUGGUUCAAUUCGAGUGCAUAUAUACCGUUUGGGUUUAUUGAUGUUCUCAGGUGUUUGAGGAUCAAAACGAAAUAAAUAAAAAAGUGAUUUUUUUAUCCU